rnacentral:rRNA from 1 species
AACGAACGCUGGCGGCAUGCCGAACACAUGCAAGUCGAACGAGAUCUUCGGGUCUAGUGGCGCACGGGUGCGUAACGCGUGGGAAUCUGCCCUUUGGUUCGGAAUAACAGUUGGAAACGACUGCUAAUACCGGAUGAUGACGAAAGUCCAAAGAUUUAUCGCCAGAGGAGGAGCCCCCGUAGGAUUAGCUAGUUGGUGUGGUAAAGGCGCACCAAGGCGACGAUCCUUAGCUGGUCUGAGAGGAUGAUCAGCCACACUGGGACUGAGACACGGCCCAGACUCCUACGGGAGGCAGCAGUGGGGAAUAUUGGACAAUGGGCGAAAGCCUGAUCCAGCAAUGCCGCGUGAGUGAUGAAGGCCUUAGGGUUGUAAAGCUCUUUUACCCGGGAUGAUAACGACAGUACCGGGAGAAUAAGCUCCGGCUAACUCCGUGCCAGCCGCCGCUGUAA